UACGUAGGGGGCAAGCGUUGUCCGGAAUCAUUGGGCGUAAAGCGCGUGUAGGCGGUUCGAUAAGUCUGCUGUGAAAGUCCAGGGCUCAACCCUGGGAUGCCGGUGGAUACUGUCGGACUAGAGUACGGAAGAGGCGAGUGGAAUUCCCGGUGUAGCGGUGAAAUGCGCAGAUAUCGGGAGGAAGGCCGGUGGCGGAAGGCGGCGCUCUGGAACAUUCUGA
rnacentral:rRNA from 1 species